rnacentral:rRNA from 1 species
UUGACCUCGGAUCAGGUAGGGAUACCCGCUGAACUUAAGCAUAUCAAUAAGCGGAGGAAAAGAAACCAACAGGGAUUGCCUCAGUAACGGCGAGUGAAGCGGCAACAGCUCAAAUUUGAAAUCUGGCCCUCGGGUCCGAGUUGUAAUUUGUAGAGGAUGUUUUGGGUACCGCCGCGGUUUAAAUUUCUUGGAACAGAAUGUCAAAGAGGGUGAGAAUCCCGUCUGGAACUGCGGUAGGGCCUAUGUAAAACUCCUUCGACGAGUCGAGUUGUUUGGGAAUGCAGCUCAAAAUGGGUGGUAAAUUUCAUCUAAAGCUAAAUAUUGGCCAGAGACCGAUAGCGCACAAGUAGAGUGAUCGAAAGAUGAAAAGCACUUUGAAAAGAGAGUUAAACAGUAUGUGAAAUUGUUGAAAGGGAAGCGCUUGCAACCAGACUUGUGUGUGGCGGUUCCCCCUUGCUUCUGCUUGGGCUACUCCGUCAUAUCCAGGCCAACAUCGGUUCUAGGGGUCGGUUAAAGGCCCUGGGAAUGUAUCUACCUCUGGGUAGACUUAUAGCCCAGGGUGUCAUGCGGCCUCCCGGGACCGAGGAACGCGCCUCGGCGAGGAUGUUGGCGUAAUGGUUGUCAGCGACCCGUCUUGAAACACGGACCAAGGAGUCUAACAUCUAUGCGAGUGUUUGGGUGUCAAACCCGUACGCGAAAUGAAAGUGAACGGAGGUAGGAAGCCUUUAGGCUGCACUAUCGACCGAUCCUGAUAUUUAUGGAUGGAUUUGAGUAAGAGCAUAGCUGUUGGGACCCGAAAGAUGGUGAACUAUGCCUGAAUAGGGUGAAGCCAGAGGAAACUCUGGUGGAGGCUCGCAGCGGUUCUGACGUGCAAAUCGAUCGUCAAAUUUGGGUAUAGGGUAAGUUCUUAUUUUCAUUCUUUGUUGUUUUGUUGUACCCAGGUCGUUUCCCAGAAGGGCCCUCGGAGCAACAACGAGCAACAGACAAACCAGCACAGUGGUAUACAUGUUCCUACAGCAUCACCACUGUGCUUGCUGUAACGAUAGAUGUUAUUUUUUGAUCUGUUGUUUCGACUGUGUACCUUUCGAUCCCUCCUUCUGAGUGCCACCUUUCGGAAUUUCUUGCUAUUACCUAUUUGUAAACAAAUGCUAACGGUAUUCUAACAGGGCGAAAGACUAAUCGAAC